rnacentral:sRNA from 1 species
AUCAAAAGAAGAACGGCUAAGGCGCGCCGUCCUGGCGCAACGCCGUUCUGACUCACAUCCUGUGAG